UACGUAGGUGGCAAGCGUUGUCCGGAUUUAUUGGGUUUAAAGGGUGCGUAGGCGGCUUUGUAAGUCAGUGGUGAAAUACGGUAGCUUAACUAUCGAGGUGCCAUUGAUACUGCAGAGCUUGAGUACAGAUGAGGUAGGCGGAAUUGACGGUGUAGCGGUGAAAUGCUUAGAUAUCGUCAAGAACACCUAUAGCGAAGGCAGCUUACUAGGCUGUAACUGACGCUGAGGCACGAAAGUGUGGGGAUCAAACAGG
rnacentral:rRNA from 1 species